CUUUUAGGGCGUGUUUAAAGUCAGCAUUGGUAUUUACUACUGUUCUUCCUUGUUUUGCUUUUAAGUAACAGAGUUUGAAUAACAUGACGACUGUUCGGUUCGAUUGAGUUUUCAACCAAAUGCCAGCGGAAACACUGUAAUGUAUAUGGCUCUCGAAAGAGCUUGACCGUUACCCAAACAUUGUAAGAACUUUAUGGGCCAAAGAUAGCGCAUGUUAAAAAAACAUGUUCAGUCAAUGUUCAAACUGUGAUCUCUACAGAGGCCAGAUGAUAUGAAACUCAUUUUACGACAGCAAAUGGUCUGGUAUGAAGGAAGAUAUUUCUCAGGAAGAUUUCGACUUCAACUCGUCGCGGAUAAUUGAAAAAAUUUACUUUGAACUUGAUAAGUAUGCUAAAGGACGUCAUAAAAAUUGAAAUAAAUGGUUUUGAAUUUGCAAAAUUGUUCAACUUGCAUGAACAUCAAAGUUGGAUUAUAUCUUACGACUUUUCGUUUUUAAUUUUCCGAAAAAAAUUUACAACAGAAAAAAGAUUAACCAUAUUUAAAUUUUAUUUUAUUUAUUGUAUUGUACGAAUAUAAUGUGAAAUUAAAACAUUAGAGAACACUAAAACAA